CUUUAAGAGCAAACGGUGGAUGCCUUGGCAUCUGGAGCCGAAGAAGGACGUAGCAAUCUGCGAUAAGCCUCGGGGAGUGGAUAAGCACACUGUGAUCCGAGGGUGUCCGAAUGGGGAAACCCCGCUGGGCGGCGUGCCGACCCAGUGACUCCCGCCUGAAUAUAUAGGGCGGGUAGAGGGAACGUGGGGAAGUGAAACAUCUCAGUACCCACAGGAAGAGAAAGCAACCGCGAUUCCGUUAGUAGUGGCGAGCGAAACCGGAACAGGCUAAACCGAGUACGUGUGAUAUCCGGCAGGAGUUGCGUAUUCGGGGUUGUGGGACUUUUCUGGUUGUUCUGCCGAGCAGCCGGCGUUACAAGAAGGUAUAGACGAACUGGAUUGAAAGCCAGGUCAUAGAGGGUGCCAACCCCGUAGUCGAAAUGCCUCUCUUGGCGCGAAGAGUAUCCCAAGUAGCACGGGGCCCGAGAAAUCCCGUGUGAAUCUGUCAGGACCACCUGAUAAGCCUAAAUACUCCCAGAUGACCGAUAGCGGACAAGUACCGUGAGGGAAAGGUGAAAAGUACCCCGGGAGGGGAGUGAAAUAGUACCUGAAACCGUUUGCUUACAAACCGUUGGAGCCUCCUUAGUAGGGGUGACAGCGUGCCUUUUGAAGAAUGAGCCUGCGAGUUAGCGAUACGUGGCGAGGUUAACCCGUGUGGGGUAGCCGUAGCGAAAGCGAGUCUGAAUAGGGCGAUUCAGUCGCGUGUCCUAGACCCGAAGCGAAGUGAUCUAUCCAUGGCCAGGCUGAAGCGACGGUAAGACGUCGUGGAGGGCCGAACCCACUUAGGUUGAAAACUGAGGGGAUGAGCUGUGGAUAGGGGUGAAAGGCCAAUCAAACUUCGUGAUAGCUGGUUCUCUCCGAAAUGCAUUUAGGUGCAGCGUUGCGUGUUUCUUGCCGGAGGUAGAGCUACUGGAUGGCCGAUGGGCCCUACAAGGUUACUGACGUCAGCCAAACUCCGAAUGCCGGUAAGUGAGAGCGCAGCAGUGAGACUGUGGGGGAUAAGCUUCAUAGUCGAGAGGGAAACAACCCAGACCACCAACUAAGGUCCCAAAGCGCGUGCUAAGUGGGAAAGGAUGUGGAGUUGCUCUGACAACCAGGAGGUUGGCUUAGAAGCAGCCACCCUUUAAAGAAAGCGUAAUAGCUCACUGAUCGAGUCGUCCUGCGCGGAAGAUGUAACGGGGCUAAGCCAGUUACCGAAGCUGCGGAUUUGCAAUUUAUUGCAAGUGGUAGGAGAGCGUUCUGUAAGCCUGUGAAGGUGUCUUGUAAAGGAUGCUGGAGGUAUCAGAAGUGCGAAUGCUGACAUGAGUAGCGUUAAAGGGGGUGAAAAGCCCCCUCGCCGUAAGCGCAAGGUUUUCUACGCAACGUUCAUCGGCGUAGAGUGAGUCGGCCCCUAAGGCGAGGCAGAGAUGCGUAGCUGAUGGGAAGCAGGUUAAUAUUCCUGCACCGUCGUAUGAUGCGAUGGGGGGACGGAUCGCGGAAGGUUGUCCGGGUGUUGGAUGUCCCGGUCCCUGCAUUGGAGAUGGCACUUAGGCAAAUCCGGGUGCGUGAUUCAAGGGUGUGGGGCGAGCGACUUUAGGUCGCGAAGCAAUUGGAAGUGGUUCCAAGAAAAGCCUCUAAGCUUCAGUCAUACGAGACCGUACCGCAAACCGACACAGGUGGGCGAGAUGAGUAUUCUAAGGCGCUUGAGAGAACUCGGGAGAAGGAACUCGGCAAAUUGGUACCGUAACUUCGGGAUAAGGUACGCCCUUGUAGUUUGACUGGCUCGCGCCAGAAGGACGAAGGGGUUGCAAUAAAAUGGUGGCUGCGACUGUUUAAUAAAAACACAGCACUCUGCAAACACGAAAGUGGACGUAUAGGGUGUGACGCCUGCCCGGUGCUGGAAGAUUAAAUGAUGGGGUGCAAGCUCUUGAUUGAAGUCCCAGUAAACGGCGGCCGUAACUAUAACGGUCCUAAGGUAGCGAAAUUCCUUGUCGGGUAAGUUCCGACCUGCACGAAUGGCGUAACGACUUCCCAACUGUCUCAACCGCGAACUCGGCGAAAUUGCACUACGAGUAAAGAUGCUCGUUACGCGCAGCAGGACGGAAAGACCCCGUGACCUUUACUACAGCUUGGUAUUGGUGUUCGGUGUGGCUUGUGUAGGAUAGGUGGGAGACUUUGAAGCGGUGACGCCAGUUACCGUGGAGUCAUUGUUGAAAUACCACUCUGGUCACUCUGGAUAUCUAACUUCGAACCGUAAUCCGGUUCAGGGACAGUGCCUGGUGGGUAGUUUAACUGGGGCGGUUGCCUCCCAAAAAGUAACGGAGGCGCCCAAAGGUUCCCUCAACCUGGUUGGCAAUCAGGUGGCGAGUGUAAGUGCACAAGGGAGCUUGACUGUGAGACUGACAGGUCGAGCAGGGACGAAAGUCGGGACUAGUGAUCCGGCAGUGGCUUGUGGAAGCGCUGUCGCUCAACGGAUAAAAGGUACCUCGGGGAUAACAGGCUGAUCUUGCCCAAGAGUCCAUAUCGACGGCAUGGUUUGGCACCUCGAUGUCGGCUCGUCGCAUCCUGGGGCUGGAGUAGGUCCCAAGGGUUGGGCUGUUCGCCCAUUAAAGCGGUACGCGAGCUGGGUUUAGAACGUCGUGAGACAGUUCGGUCCCUAUCCGCUGCGCGCGUAGGAAAUUUGAGAGGAUCUGACCCUAGUACGAGAGGACCGGGUUGGACGAACCUCUGGUGUGCCAGUUGUUCUGCCAAGAGCACCGCUGGUUAGCUACGUUCGGGAUGGAUAACCGCUGAAAGCAUCUAAGCGGGAAGCCGGCCUCAAGAUGAGAUUUCCAUGCCUUCGGGCGAGAGGCUCCCAGCCAGACUACUGGGUUGAUAGGCCGGAUGUGGAAGCGUGGCAACACGUGAAGCUGACCGGUACUAAUAAGCCGAUGUCU
rnacentral:rRNA from 1 species